GACGCGCCGACCGACACGCCGCCGCAGACGCCGCCCAGCCUCAAGCUCGGCCAGAUGAGCUCGCUGAGCAAGCUGGCGCACCUCAACAGCAGCGCCAUGGGCUACGGCGGUCCCUACCCGGGCUCGUCGCUGGGCUCGACCCGUCCGUCGACGCUGGAGCGGCGCCCGGACGUGUACCAGACGCAGCUGUCGGCCCAGCAGCAGCACCACCUUCAGCAGCACCAGCAGCAGCAGCAGCAGCACGUGCAGCAGAGUCAGCAGGCGGCGCGACAACAGAUGCCUGUGGAGAUGACCUCAUACGCCGCCCCAUACAAAGGCGGUAGUUCCGGCUCCGUCCCGCCGGCCGAGUACGUGUCGCCCGUGUGAGGGCGUGACCUCCGGCCCGGCAGGCCGACCUCUGACCUGACUUCCGGUCGGGCGCUCCUGCCCACUGAGGGGUUCAACUGCGGCGGUCCCAUUCGCCACGGUAUCAGCUGACUGGCGGCAGACAUCAGCCAGCUGACUGGCGGCGGGUAUCAGCUGACUGGCGGCAGACAUCACCUGGCUGGAGGCAGGCAUCAGCUGACUGGCAGCAGACAUCAGCAAGCUGACUGGCGGCGGGUAUCAGCUGACUGGCGGCAGACAUCAGCUGACUGGCGGCAGACGUCGGCUGGCACACAGCUGAGAUCAGUUGGCGCUCCUGUGUCACGGCCAUCUCCGUGGAGACCUACUGGAGACACCCGUGGUCAGACGAACAUCCAAGCCGACAUCUCCCGCCAGGAAGACCUGCAGCUGAUGUCUUCCGUCCAGUUGCUGCGCACGUGUCCGCUUCCGGCUGCUGCGUGCGUGUCCGCAUCCGGCUGGCGCUUACGUGUCCGCGUCCGGCUGCUGCAUAGGUGUCCGCGUCCGGCUGCUCCGUGCGUGCUCGCGCCCGGUUGCUCGGCACGUGCUCACGUCCGGCUGCUCUGCACGUGUCCGCGUCCGGCUGCUCCGUGCGUGGUCGCGUCCGGCUGCUCCGCACGUGCUCACGUCCGGCUGCUCCGCACGCGCUCGCGCUCCAGGCGUGCUCACGCCUAAAGCGAGGACGAAGCGUCGUGGAGUCGUGUCCAGCUGGGGGAGGCACGAAGCCACGUGGCGCUAGGGCAGGGCUGUAACGGAUACGGCCAGAAACAACCGGGCACGAGGCACGGACUGGCCGCGACGCGGCAUAGCGGCGUUCGCAGAGGCCACCAUCCCAGCUAGGGGCGUAUCCAGGAUUUCUCAAUGGGGAAGGGGGUCAGAACUAAAAACUGUUCACUGAAAAGUCCGUUUUAGAGCGUUUGAGGUACGCAAAAAGUCUCGCAUGGCAUAUGACAUCGUCGCAUUAUUGCAAUCUACUUGUUUUUACUCGUCUACCCUGACUAUUUAAUCGUAGACAUUUCCCCACAUGCAUAUCAAUGCAUUACAUAUUUGAUAAUAGUGGUAGUUGGUGCGACACCAUUAGUGCCCACCUUGAAUACGCCCCUGGUCCCAGCUGCCGGGGUAGCGACCAGCGGCCCUGGUCCGUGAUCAGCGCAGUAAAUGCCGGCGGUACUCGUGCCAUUUCGAUCAGGUGCUCCGCGCGUGCCUCUCCGCUCCGAACUGGGUGGGAUCGGCCAGGGGAGGUGAUGGUCGACAGUCGUCGGGAGUCGUCAGUUUUGCCUCAGUUCAAAAGCUGCGCAGACAUGUGCGAGCCGCACAGCUGGGUGCCUUGCACUGGUGGCUCCUAGUGGGGUCAGCAUGGAGGGGUACCGACCAGAGGUCACUGCGAGGUCAGGUUGGGUCGCUGGAGGUCAGAGGUCAGAGGUCACCGCGAAGCGAGGCUGCUGUUCGGCCGGCGAGGGGCAGGGCUUGCAGGCGGAUGCAGGCUUGACUUAGAGAGCGGAGCCGACACCAGCGCCAAAUCUGGAUCUGAGGAGCAGGCUACGGCUCGUUUUGACCCCGAAUCGUGCCACCACCGUGAUUUGCUUCUUCGAGAUGAUUUGGCGGGGCCGCCUGUCGUAGUCGCGUACUUACAAGCUCGUGUUCGGGCCGAACGUCCAAAGUCAAUCGUAUGGGGCAGCGUGUUCGUCAUGUCCUGUGAUGGCUGAGUACAAUGUGUUGCGCAUCAAAAGUCCAGCAUCGCUCGCUGGCCAGCUGUCGGAGGUGAGCGCCGUGAUCGCCGUGUUCUCAAGUGUAGGUGCUCCGUUGAGUUGCUGCGUGAGAUGGGGUCCUGGCUUUGUCAACUGUGAUAUGUGUCAUUGUUGCUCGCGCGUGCUGUUCCGAUGUGCCGAGCAGACUUCGGUUUAUUCGUUCAUUCGUGGGUUAAGAACCGCACGUGGGUGCAGAGGAAUCGAUGUGAACUAGGUUACGAGUGUAGAGUCACGUUGAGCGUUCACCAGUUGAUUACAUGCGUCGCAGAACGUCAUGCUCAUGUGCCAUAUCGCGUAAUAUGACGUCUUGUUUCAUGUGAGGAGAACGAUGCGAGCAUCGUGUGCAGUCUGGUUCUCGCUGCACGAGUUUGUGAUUUGAUUAUUUGCGUGGGUACUUUGACGCAAAUACAUGUGUUGCCAAGUGGCACGGAAACGGCCCUUCAAGUUAGCGUGGCCAAUGCAACAUGAAGGUUAUAUGGCGGUAGCGGAGAUUUGGACAGGCGGGGAUGGGAACUCAGCGGUCGAGUGCGUCGCGCGCCAUUACCAAAGUCGUGAAAUCGGUGGGGACCUAACCCCCAUAAUCCUCAAGGGAACUCCGGCGGUGGCUGUGCAUGUCAGAUGUUGCGCCCUGCUGUGUCGGCCACCAUGCAGGUGUGUGUACGUCACGCCACACAUUGCUUUGGGUCAAGUAACUCGACCCGAAUGAAACAUUUGCAGCUGUAAGCUGUUUAUCCCUCGUGUGAAACUAAGUCAGACCGGAAAUGUUUGAAAAUGUUCGUUAAUUUCCUUGUUAAAAAUCCAAAAACAGCGCCAACAAGAAACAUUCUGAGAUCUCAUCCGCACUGAAAGCCAACACUCAAGGCAAGUGCAUGCGGUAUAAUCCUACCGGCAUCAUGAUAUUGUGACAAGUCCCAUUCACUCCAUAUGCUGUGAUCUUUAAGCAAACCUCUGUCCAUUCGC